AACUCUUAGCAGCGGAUCACUCAACUCGUGCGUUGAUGAAGAAUGCAGCCAGCUGUGAAAAUUAAUGUAAAUUGCAGGACACACUCAUCAUCAACACUUCCAAUGCACUUGUGGCCCCAUGUUCCUCCCAGGGCUGCCCCUGUCUGAGCCGUCA
rfam:Chlorocebus sabaeus isolate 1994-021 chromosome 6, whole genome shotgun sequence.